rnacentral:lncRNA from 1 species
CUUUGAUAAUGUUUUAAUCUUGUUGUGUGACAGAUUUAAUUCCUUCAGAUUGCCAUUGUAACUAAAAUGUCUGUUUUGUAUUUUUUGUAUACGAUUAUAACUUAAAUCGAUGCUGCGUAUGUUAUCUUUCUAUGUUUCUGUGGAAUUUCAACCAAAGAUGAAGAACUGGAUAUUCCAUCACUGUAUUGGAUACCUAAACUACAUAAGUGUCCUUACAAACAACGGUAUAUUGCUGGGUCUUCCAAGUGCUCCAUGAAGCCUCUUUCUAAAUUAUUAACAUCUAUUUUAUCAGCAAUCAAAGACGGGCUUCAAAGUUAUUGUGAAACUGCCUAUUCUAGAGGUGGGGUGAAUCAGAUGUGGAUACUUAAAAAUUCUAAAGAUCUUUUAGAGUACAUACAAUCUAACUCUCUUUUAUCUUGUAACAGUAUUAAAACAAUUGACUUUUCUACUCUUUACACAAGUAUUCCACAUUCCAAACUAAAAGACAAAUUGAAAGAGUUGGUAUUGCUUUGCUUCAUAAAAAAGAAUGGCCAACGUAGAUACAAGUAUCUUGUCUUAGGGAGGGAUAAAUCCUACUUUGUAAAGGAUCACUCUGAUUCAAACAAAAAAUUCUCUGAAACUGAUAUUAUCAAGAUGCUUGAUUUCUUGAUUGACAACAUAUUUGUUACGUAUGGAGGACGUGUUUUUCAACAGACUGUCGGCAUUCCAAUGGGCACAAAUUGUGCCCCUCUACUUGCCGACUUGUUUCUUUAUUAUUAUGAGGCUGACUUCAUGCAGGAACUUUUUAGGAAGAAAGACAAGAAGUUAGCAAUAUCCUUUAACUCUACAUUCCGCUAUAUAGAUGAUGUUCUUUCACUAAUCAAUUUAAAAUUUUGGUGACUAUGUGGAACGCAUCUAUCCCAUCGAACUAGAGAUAAAGAAUACUACAGAUACAGUUAAGUCGGCCUCAUAUCUUGACUUACAUCUAGAAAUUGACAAUGAGGGUCGGUUGAAAACAAAACUUUACGACAAAAGAGAUGAUUUCAGCUUUCCAAUUGUGAAUUUUCCAUUUCUAAGUAGCAACAUUCCAGCAGCACCUGCAUACGGGGUAUAUAUCUCUUAAUUGAUACGAUAUUCCCGUGCUUGUAUUUCCUAUCAUUAUUUUCUUGAUAAAGGGUUGCUGGUCACAAGGAAGCUAUUAAACCAAGAGUUCCAAAUGUUGAAGUUGAAAUCAUCCUUCGUAAAUUUUACGGACGCCAUCACGAGUUGGUUGACCGUUAUAUAUAUAAUAACCGUUUCACAAAUGAUAUCGGACGUGUCCCUUACGUCGUAACUACAAUCCACUUCCCUUUCAUGAAUGUGACCUACCGAAUAAGACUAUUUACCGGAUUUGUUAUCACAUAAGCAACACGAAGGGUGCCACAUGUGGAGCAGGAUCUGCUUACCUUUCCGGAGCACCUGAGAUCAUCCCUAGUUUUUUGGUGGGGUUCGUGUUGUUUAUUCUUUAGUUUUCUAUGUUGUGUCAUGUGUACUAUUUUUGUCUGUUUGUCUUUUUCUUUUUUAGCCAUGGCGUUGUCAGUUUAUUUUAGAUUUAUGAGUUUGACUGUCCCUUUGGUAUCUUUCGUCCCUCUCUUCAAGACUGGAAUGACAUGUAACGUUGAAUGGGAACAUACUGCGUUGUAGUAUGGUGUCGGUAAAAAUGAGAAACAACGAUAUUUUGUUGAAAAGUAACAUGUCACCCUCUUGCAGCAUCUGUAUUGACAUGGCCGACAGUUAGGUAUACAAACAUCAGGUUGAUCAUGAGGAACAUUAUUUAAAUCU